CCUACGGGUGGCUGCAGUCGAGAAUCAUUCACAAUGGGGGAAACCCUGAUGGUGCGACGCCGCGUGGUGGAAUGAAGGUCUUCGGAUUGUAAACCCCUGUCAUGUGGGAGCAAAUUAAAAAGAUAGUACCUCAAGAGGAAGAGUCGGCUAACUCUGUGCCAGCAGCCGCGGUAAUACAGAGGUCUCAAGCGUUGUUGGGAAUCACUGGGCGUAAAGCGUGCGUAGGCUGUUUCGUAAGUCGUGUGUGAAAGGCGAGGGCUCAACCAGCGAAUGGCACAUGAUACUGCGAGAAUAGAGUAAUGGAGAGGGAACCGGAAUUCGUGGUGUAGCAGUGAAAUGCGUAGAGAUCGAGAGGAACACUCGGGGCGAAGGCGGGUUCCUAGACAAUAACUGACGCGGAGGCACGAAGGCCAGGGGAGCGAAAGGGAUGAGAUACCCUAGUAGUC
rnacentral:rRNA from 1 species